CGGAAGCUCACAUUCUUCUCGUCAAGUAAAAAAAUUUUAACAUCUUAAACCAAAAACUCAGGCAACGACUUCCUGUUCACUCAAGGAUUCUACUCAUAAAGGGAAGAGAAUCAAUAUAAGAAGGGGAAAGAAACUCCUUGAUCAUUCCUAGUCAACAUCUUCCUCAAAUAAAAAGCUGGAAACACAUGCAAACAUACAAGUCAGAAAAUAGUUCUAUGUGCUUCCUAAAUAGAGAUAUAUAAAUUUAAUUGACAGCCGCA
rnacentral:misc_RNA from 1 species